UGCAAGUCGAACGGCAGCACGGGUGCUUGCACCUGGUGGCGAGUGGCGAACGGGUGAGUAAUACAUCGGAACGUACCUUAUCGUGGGGGAUAACGCAGCGAAAGCUGUGCUAAUACCGCAUACGCCCUGAGGGGGAAAGCGGGGGAUCGAAAGACCUCGCGCGAUUAGAGCGGCCGAUGCCUGAUUAGCUUGUUGGUGGGGUAAAAGCCCACCAAGGCGACGAUCAGUAGCUGGUCUGAGAGGACGAUCAGCCACACUGGGACUGAGACACGGCCCAGACUCCUACGGGAGGCAGCAGUGGGGAAUUUUGGACAAUGGGGGAAACCCUGAUCCAGCAAUGCCGCGUGAGUGAAGAAGGCCUUCGGGUUGUAAAGCUCUUUUGUCAGGGAAGAAACACCGGCUCUAACACAGUCCGGGAAUGACGGUACCUGAAGAAUAAGCACCGGCUAACUACGUGCCAGCAGCCGCGGUAAUACGUAGGGUGCGAGCGUUAAUCGGAAUUACUGGGCGUAAAGCGUGCGCAGGCGGUUAUACAAGACAGGCGUGAAAUCCCCGGGCUUAACCUGGGAAUGGCGCCUGUGACUGUAUAGCUAGAGUGUGUCAGAGGGGGGUAGAAUUCCACGUGUAGCAGUGAAAUGCGUAGAUAUGUGGAGGAAUACCAAUGGCGAAGGCAGCCCCCUGGGAUAACACUGACGCUCAUGCACGAAAGCGUGGGGAGCAAACAGGAUUAGAUACCCUGGUAGUCCACGCCCUAAACGAUGCUGACUAGUUGUUCGGGGUUUACAUCCUGAGUAACGUAGCUAACGCGUGAAGUCAGCCGCCUGGGGAGUACGGUCGCAAGAUUAAAACUCAAAGGAAUUGACGGGGACCCGCACAAGCGGUGGAUGAUGUGGAUUAAUUCGAUGCAACGCGAAAAACCUUACCUACCCUUGACAUGUCACUAACGAAGUAGAGAUACAU
rnacentral:rRNA from 1 species